rfam:Lupinus angustifolius cultivar Tanjil contig_1837, whole genome shotgun sequence.
AGGUGCGAUCAUACCAGCACUAAUGCAAUAGAUCCCAUUAGAACUCUGCAGUUUCGCGUGCUUGGGCGAGAGUAGUACUAGGAUCGGUGACCUCCUAGGAAUACGUCGUGUUGCACCUC